UACGUAGGGUGCGAGCGUUGUCCGGAAUUAUUGGGCGUAAAGAGCUUGUAGGCGGUUUGUCGCGUCUGCCGUGAAAAUUCGAGGCUCAACCUCGAACUUGCGGUGGGUACGGGCAGACUAGAGUGUGGUAGGGGGAGACUGGAAUUCCUGGUGUAGCGGUGAAAUGCGCAGAUAUCAGGAGGAACACCCGUAGCGAAGGCGGCACUCUGGGCCGAUACUGACACUGAGGAGCGAAAGCGUGGGAGCGAACAGG
rnacentral:rRNA from 1 species